GGAAGCGAUUCCGGCUACGGAUGGUCAUGCGUCGCAUUAGCUAGUUGGCGGGGUAACGGCCCACCAAGGCGACGAUGCGUAGGGGUUCUGAGAGGAAGGUCCCCCACACUGGUACUGAGACACGGACCAGACUCCUACGGGAGGCAGCAGUGAGGAAUAUUGGUCAAUGGCCGCAGGGCUGAACCAGCCAAGUCGCGUGAGGGAUGACGGUCCUAUGGAUUGUAAACCUCUUUUGUCAGGGAGCAAAGGGCGCCACGUGUGGCGUUUUGCGAGUACCUGAAGAAAAAGCAUCGGCUAACUCCGUGCCAGCAGCCGCGGUAAUACGGAGGAUGCGAGCGUUAUCCGGAUUUAUUGGGUUUAAAGGGUGCGCAGGCGGAAUGUCAAGUCAGCGGUAAAAUUUCGGGGCUCAACCCCGUCGUGCCGUUGAAACUGGCGUUCUUGAGUGAGCGAGAAGUAUGCGGAAUGCGUGGUGUAGCGGUGAAAUGCAUAGAUAUCACGCAGAACUCCGAUUGCGAAGGCAGCAUACCGGCGCUCAACUGACGCUCAUGCACGAAAGCGUGGGUAUCGAACAGGAUUAGAUACCCUGGUAGUCCACGCAGUAAACGAUGAAUACUAACUGUCCGGGCAGAAUGAUGCCUGG
rnacentral:rRNA from 1 species